AAAAAAAUGUUAAAUAAUCGUCCACCAGAGGCCUUCAUCAAAAGAUUUUUCACACCCCAAGAAGGAAUUAAGAUCAUCAAAAUCUUUUCCUCCCCCAGAAAAUUCGAUAAUUGAAUUCUUUUUCACCCCCAGAAACGACGAUCAAUUUCCCCUAGAAAUUGCUAUUGUGAAGUUUAAAGUUUUGGUGUCUCCCGAUAAAGGCAGAAACGAUGCAAGUAAAAUUCACGGCGGAUACAUGACAACGGGAACCAACUGGAAAAGAUAUUGGGUGGUUGUGGAAGUUUAACAAUUAGACACAUCAAUUUACCUUAGAACAAAGUCAAUUUCUCACGUGCACUUGAUCUAUUGUUGUGCCGCUGGAACGGAGGCAGUAGGUAAUUAAAAAGAAAAAAAUGUUUAUUUUUGUUUGCAACAGUAUGGCAAUGGUAAUUUGCUUAGGAGUGUCGGUCAUGUUUAUUUGUUAGAAUAAGUGAAGGCGAGAUUAGUAACAAGUACUGCUUGUUUAAUUUGAUUGCAAUAAGGACUACGUUGAAGGAGCGAGCGAGAGGGAAAUAAUUCCUUGGAGAAGAUUUUGUAGAAUGAUUGGACUAUUAUCUUGCAAUAAACUGUAAAGGUACAUAUUUCUUUCUUUUUGUAAUGGUUAAAUGUAACCAUGUCGGUGAUUCAAUUAACCUUGCUUGGUUAUUAUUUUUAUUUUGUUUUGUUUUUUGGGUUAUCUGUUGGUGGCCAAUUAUGUAUGGAUGACAUUGGCGUUAUGAAUUGUUAAUUUAGUUUUGUGAAUGGCUGCACGUAGCUGAGGAAAAAAAUGAGUUGCUUAGCUAUAAAAGCAAGCAUGUUCAUGCGCUUUGGGAAUGUACCCCCUUGAAAUGCUUUGUAUACAUGGUAAAAUAGGCUAUAUAUCUAUUGCAGAAAAUGAAUAAAUUUUCAUGUUGACCAUGUUCUUUAUGGGCCAUGAGUUGAUGUUCAUGAUUGUUUUAUAUUGUAGGACUGCUCAAUGGGGUUCUGUUAAGAGAAGGUCAGGCUCUACCAGGUAGUCACCUUAUGGCUCAACAUUUUUUUCAUAAUGUUCCCAUCACAUGAGUCUGUUUGGACAAGUUCUGCCUGUUCAACAUGUAGUGUCUCCGAAGUCUAUCUUACUGUUUGUGUGUGAAGUGUUGCCCUCUCCAUUAGUAGCAAGGAGCCAAGGACAGGAUUGUUUGCAGGUGUUCUUAAAUUAAGCAUGCAUUUAGAACAUGUAAAAAAGAGUGCCUUUCUCAUGGCAUGCAGAGGAAAACACCCAUGAGAAGAAUUUAGUAGUAAAUAUAUUACAAAGGGCAUCUGAUUUUGUUCCUGAAUGAUGAUAUGGUUCUCAGCUGUUUUUAUGAUUAUAUUCAUAAUAGUCUGAAUUCAUUUUUGAGUUUCUCUUUUAUGGAUUGUUAAAAUCUGGCAACAAGACAUGUAGUAGUUGAAAGAAGAAAUGGCAACAAUUUCAAUAAUUUAUUUAAUCCUGUUGUUAGCUCUAUUGUGAAAUGGUUAAUGGUAUUCAGGUACCUCUCGAUUAAUGUAUAGAUAGAUUCGGAUGGUUUCAUAGCAAUGUAAAAAGUUUGCUAAAUUCACGAAAUACAAUCUGGAUUCCCAAGAUUAUUAAGAAAUCUUCAUCGAAAUUACUGGGAAGCUACCUUAGAAUCAGCGGAGAACUAUCUAAAAUCUAUGUAGAAACUAAUUAAUUUAUAGUGGUUCAAAAUCCAAACUUUUGUUUUUUUGUCCGAGAAGUUAGAGCAAUUAGGCCAAGGUCAAUUAAGAAACCGCUAGCUGUUUCUUGUGAUUUAUCGAUUAAGUGAAUGUUCAGCGACUUUCAGCCUUAUGUUGGAUUACCUGUCUAGGCUGCCAAAUAAAACGGGUGAUUACAGUAUCCCAUUUUGUCUUCAAAAUGCUUAGAAAGUUUUAUCUUUUGAGGCCUUAAUUUCUUCCUGAUUUGAUGUGUAUACAUACUCCUGGAAUUAACGAACAUUCAGGGCCAGGAUCCUUCACAAUCUCAGGAGCAAUUUUGUCGUCCUUGGCUCCAUUUCUAGUAAAAUCAAGAAAACGUAACGGGGUAGUUAAUUUGGUGGCAAAUUAGAUCACGUUUGUGUGUCCCAAAUUCGAACCUCUGUUCCUCAAAUGUAAUUAUGAUCCGCAAGUCAUUUUCUAUGGUCCAGGACGUAUUUGUUUAACUAAUUUUUUUUUUAGUUUUUUUAUAAGCCACGAGGAGUUUUGCAUGGAAACCAUUAAUUUAGUACCAAAAACCCUGCCAGCUGCGACUUAAGAGAUUAUUUACUUACUUUCAUUGCAGAAGUAACAUUGUUGCGUGCAUGCUUCAACAUUAUGUUGUUGGUUACUUAAGUCUGUUUUUAUAGCAACCAAUAGGUUUCAGGAUUGGGGCUCCUGAGGAAUAUCUGAACCAGUAACAAAGUAUUUGAAAAUGGCUUCUUCUUUACUUGACAAGCGAAAUACUUAAAUUCGAAUCUAUAAUUUUGUUGGUUGAUCGAUAAUCUAUUCUGCCCCUUUUGGUUUUCAGCGAUUGCUUUUAAUAUUUAAGUAAUUUUUUUUUAUUUCUUGCCUUAUAAUUCACUAUCUCUUUUAUCUUCUACUAAAGUUACUAAAUACAGAUUUUUAUCUCUGUGUUACUGUGCAAGCCUGUGAUAGCAAUACGGAUGACCCAGAUGAAUUCAACAUCAACCUUUUGAACCUUGGUUUUGUCUGUCAUUAUAAUAUUUUGUUAUAUGUAUAACUUAAUUUCGGAUGGACCUUUGUUUAUCUUUAGAUUGGGGAA
rnacentral:lncRNA from 1 species